GACGAACGCUGGCGGCGUGCUUAACACAUGCAAGUCGAACGGAAAGGCCCUGCUUGCAGGGUACUCGAGUGGCGAACGGGUGAGUAACACGUGGGUGAUCUGCCCUGCACUUCGGGAUAAGCUUGGGCAACUGGGUCUAAUACCGGAUAGGACCGCACUUUAGUGUGUGUGGUGGAAAGUUUUUUCGUUGUCGGAUGAGCUCGCGGCCUAUCAGCUUGUUGGUGUGGUAAUGGCCUACCAAGGCGGCGACGGGUAGCCGGCCUGAGAGGGUGUACGGCCACAUUGGGACUGAGACACGGCCCAGAAUCCUACGGGAGGCAGCAGUGGGGAAUAUUGCACAAAGGGAGCAAGCCUGAUGCAGCGACGCCGCGUGGGGGAUGAAGGCCUUCGGGUUGUAAACUACUUUCGCUAGGGACGAAGCUUUUUGUGACGGUACCUAGAUAAGAAGCACCGGCUAACUACGUG
rnacentral:rRNA from 1 species